rnacentral:rRNA from 1 species
AGUGAACGCUGGCGGUAGGCCUAACACAUGCAAGUCGAACGGCAGCACAGUAAGAGCUUGCUCUUACGGGUGGCGAGUGGCGGAUGGGUGCGGAAUACAUCGGAAUCUACUUUUUCGUGGGGGAUAACGUAGGGAAACUUACGCUAAUCCCGCAUACGACCUACGGGUGAAAGCAGGGGAUCUUCGGACCUUGCGCGAUUGAAUGAGCCGAUGUCGGAUUAGCUAGUUGGCGGGGUAAAGGCCCACCAAGGCGACGAUCCGUAGCUGGUCUGAGAGGAUGAUCAGCCACACUGGAACUGAGACACGGUCCAGACUCCUACGGGAGGCAGCAGUGGGGAAUAUUGGACAAUGGGCGCAAGCCUGAUCCAGCCAUACCGCGUGGGUGAAGAAGGCCUUCGGGUUGUAAAGCCCUUUUGUUUGGAAAGAAGAGCAGCAGGUUAAUACCCCGCUGUUCUGACGGUACCCAAAGAAUAAGCACCGGCUAACUUCGUG